CUCAACAUUGUCACUCUCCUUAUCAGAUUCACUCUUAAUAGUCGACACAAAUGCCAUAUAGUUCCCUUCAUCUUCACUACUAGAUGACUCCUGCCUAUCACUGGUCUCAGACUCGUUAUCAGUAAGUGAAACAACUAAGGCCUUACCUUGCCCUUUUCUUUGAUUCUUCUUAUAACUAGGGCACUCAUUCCUAUAGUGACCUAUACCUUGACAUUCAUG
rnacentral:lncRNA from 1 species